rnacentral:rRNA from 2 species
AGGUGUGAUCAUACCAGCACUAAUGCAUCGGAUCUUAUCAGAACUCUACAGUUAAGCGUGUCUGGGCGAGACUAGUACUAGGAUGGGUGACCUCCUAGGAAGUCCUCCUGUAUCUCCACUA